UUCGUUUUAUGGUGAUAUGUUGGAUGUUUGAAAGGGUGGUCUCAUAAGGUUUAUCUUGGUGUAGAGACAAGUGUUUUCAUUGUUAUAUGGUUGUUGAAUAAAAUAGAUGAAAAUGUGCUUGUGUGUUUGAAGAUGAAGUGUGGUUUUGGUGUAUAAAAGGGAUGAAUUGGUUAUGAUUAAUUGUAGUGGUUUAUGUGAAUGGUUGUGUUCUUGGAUUAUGGUUUCUUGAGUUAUGCUUGUUGUAGUGA
rnacentral:lncRNA from 1 species